rnacentral:misc_RNA from 1 species
AGACAGUGAUGGAACGUAUAGUUGUAGCGUUUGUUGACCGUAAUCCAAUGGAGUAUGUGAAGCAUGUGAGUGUCUUGCGCUGUUUGUUGAGUGUUGGCCAUAGUCCUAUUUCAUUAUUCAUUCUGAUUCUGAACUUAGUUAAAUAGUAACUUUUCUUUAUGGAUUGUAAUAUUGUAUUAUGAAUCGUCAAGUGGACACUGCGAUCAUGAUGAUGGCAGUUUUGGUUUGCUGGGACAUGCAUUAUAUACAGGUCGACGGGCCAAUUUCUUCUUUGAUGAGUUCGUUAGAUUUCUUUUAUUAAAACAGUAAUCGCUACUUCUAUUAAUCAAUGAUCUUUACUAUCAACUUUUCGGGUAACUUUAUAUUUUAGCCUGAAUUUUUAAUUUAUUUUGGUUUUUCAAUUCUGGGGGUUAGAUUUUUCUUUCUUGGGAAGCUCUCUUUUUUUACUUGUUCACUGAAUAUUUUAGCCUUUAUUCAUUUCAUUUCAUUUUACAACUUUGCUAAUUAACUAAUAAUAAUAAUCUUAUCAUAUUUGAACUUUCUUCCCAUAGUAAAUCAACGCCAGCUGAAAUGUAAAAGACAAAUAGCAAAUUCUUUUUUCCUAGGAUUUCUGAUUUCACAUGCGCAAAUGGAAUAUGAUUUUGCAUAUGACUUUAUUUUUCUAUUCAGUUCUGCUUUCCCAUCCAAGUCCUGCUGUUGUCUUUCCCUUAUUUUUAAAUUUUGACGCGUUGUGACACAGAUUUCACUCCUCUUUUAGUAAGUGCAUGCCUCCCGCUAUUCAAAUUUCAUGUUAAUCUGGUCAAAAUCAUUCUAAGUUCCUGGAUUAUGGUGCCAGUGAACUUUUGGGAGUUCAAACAAUUCCAUACUAAUCCUUUUUUCUUUCAUUGGAGAGGUACUUAGCAGCCAAAUGAUAGCACCAUGCCUUUUUUCCCUUUUGGAAAUCUCAAUAGCCACUUCAGAAUAAGGGCUCGCUUGGUUGAAGUCAACCACCUUCAUUGUUGAUUGAAAAAAUAUAGACCAUAAAAAAGACUUCAUUUUUUGUAUGGGAUGCUAAUAAAGAUGAAUAACAUUUUUUAUCAGUAUCAUUUUAGACUGGGUUAUGCAUAAUACAUACUCUUUACCCAUGUAUGUAAAUUCAUGUCAUUGGUAUUGGAAUGUUUUGAUUAAUCCAGAUAAGAACGAGUUGGUGUUUUUUCUUUUUUUUUU